rnacentral:lncRNA from 1 species
UGAAACUGCAGAGCAAGAGACCUAACCAUUUAUCCUCUCUCCCACCAGCAUAUUUUUUCUCCCUAUACCUGAAGAAAUAUUUGCAGGUCUUGGAAUGAAUGAGCAUGGAAAGUUAAUCUGCAUCACAAGCUGCCUAUUUCUGCUGAUGGAUGGCAAACUAUUUGGCUGAGCUGUGUGCAUUCCUGUUCCUGAGCUCCGUGACAACAUUGCUGAAACAUUUGUUGAUCCAGUAGCCAUGGAAUUAAGAGGACACCUAAAGUAGGACUGUCUUUACAGAUGCCAAAGUGCUGUUGAGAACUGCAGAUGUACAUGCAACUCCUUAUUGUGCAGGCUUUGACCCUGGACUCUACGCACAUCAUUGGUUCUGAGACAGAUAAAGCUCUUCUCAGCUUAUUAACAUCAUUUUCCAGCAAGACUGACCUUAACCUGCUGUCUUCAUCUAUUUAUAGAUGUGUGAACUAUGAUGAAUCAUACAGUUUCCAGUUCUGGUUUACUGACGGUUUAUAUUGCUUGGCUCUAUUCCCUAGCCUGCAGGUUUCACAUUACUCAAAUACUAGCAGAAGACCUCUUCAAGAGAGGACCAUCCUCUCCAGGGCUGAGUAGCAUAUCUCGUUAUGGAUCAGAAAGAAUACUUGAAAAUCCACAUGAAAACAAAGUGAACAUCUCUGAACUCACCAGCAGUGAGGAAUAUGGGGUAAGGAGGUUCUGUACCAAUCAGAUGAGAAGGCUGAGGUCCCAAGCAGUCCCACAGAUUUGGGUGAGACUUCUCACAGGAUCUCAUAGGGAAGAGUACUCUGGAUCAAACUCUGAGUUAAGUACAAAUAUUUAA